AUAUGUGGGGAUAUGAAAACCAAAUCAAGAAGACUCUCCUUCGUUCCCUAGAUCAUUAUUAUCUGAAAGCACUGCGCUGCAGAGUCUAACCCUGACCGCUCUAAUUAGUUUAAAUUUCACAUUAAUUCCCAUGCGUUUCUACCACUCUGACCCAUCGCUCAUGGAGAAUUCUGCCAGCUGCAAUUGAGAACCGAACGCAUAUUAAAAACUCGUGUAACUGUUCCCUCUUGAUAACAACUUAGCGCAUGCGUAGUGGCGUAGAGAGAAACGUUUCAUAUGCGUGCGUAGUCAUAGGUUAAGACUAAGGAGACGCCGGAGAAUCAAGAGAGGAAUCGAGGAAGCCGAAUGCACAUACUAUUUACAGUAGACAGUGUGGUCAGAGAGAGCAGGACAGGAACCUACAACGCAUGGGGACACCGUCCAUUGAUAUGCUGGAGCUGUCUUCGGUCCCUCGGAGCCAGGCCAUCUGGCAACAAGCACAGGGGUAUUGCUGUAUCGUCUGAGGUAUAGUGUUUUCUUUUUUUCUCCCACUAUGAAGUGAUGGCACUUGAGACAAAUUCCUUCCAAGGAAAUGCUACUUUGGGGCCAAGGUUUUUCUUACUCCUCUCCAUGCCUUGCAAACAGUCAUUUCCUGGAUAUGUUGUGAAGGCAAAUCUUAGACAAGCCUCAUGGUUCCUUUUCACUCAGGAAAGGGAAAACAGUAAAUGCCAUAAAUCCUCUCCUCCAUUUAAAAAAAGGGGGGGGAGGGAAAUAUUCAUGGCCGAUGAAACCUACAACAGAGCGGGGGAAAGAAUUGCAAUCAGGAUAAUGCAAUGGGUUGUGCCGCAUGGCCUGAUGCUUCAUUCUUGGAAUGCAAAACCCAGGAAAUAUAGGAACACUAGCCGACCUGCACAGAGCAUCUGUGUGCUUUGGGGCCGGCUGCUUCCCACUUCCUCUCCCUCCUGUCUCUCCUCUCUCCCCCCUCUCCCUCCAGGCCCGAGCUCUCUUGCCCUCCCGCCCUCCCAUUCCUCCCCCCACAUAGAGCCUCACCGGGCUGCAGGCAGCCAAAAAGGGCCCCGCCGCCGCCGCUCCUCCUCUCCCAUGGCAAACAGGGAAGCCCUGCCGCCCGAUUCCUUCCCACCCCAGGCUGCAACAGGUGAGGGGUCUGCGCCCCCCCACCUGUUCCCCACUCAGCCCUGCAGGUGCCUCCAGGGCCAGCCUGUCCCACUGCCUCCUCCCAGCCAGGCCGCAGCUGCGAUGGCCGGGCUAGGGCUGCGGCUGCCGAUGCCUCCUCACAGCAGCCCGUGAUGGCCGACAUCGCCUCCUCGCCGCGGCCGCCGCCAUUUCCCCCCACAGCUGCAGCUCAACAAAAUGGCCUCCGCUGCCCAGCCAAUCCACUGGGUUGCCGGGACGCAUCCCCACAGAGGCACGUCUACAGGGAUUAAAUAUAUGGAUUGGGAGCUGUCUUCUGCUGAGUUAGACCCUUGGCCCAUAUAGCUCAGUACUAUCUACACUGACUGGAAGCAGCUCUCCAAGGUUACAGGCAGAAGUCUCUCUCAGCCCUCCCUAGAGAUGAACCUGGGACCUUCUGUAGACAAGCAGGUGUUCUACCACGGAGUUACAGCCCCAUCCCCGAAGGGGAAUAUCUUAUAGCGCUCACAUGUAGUCUUCCAGCCAAAUGCAAACUAAGGCAGAACCUGCUUAGCAAAAGGGAGAAUUCAUACCGCCACAAGACUGGCUCUCCUCCCCAAGAAAGAUGCCUCACCCAGGUCAAGCCUGAGCACAUGUGCUCUACAACUGCAAAGCGCUUCUUGCUAGGCAGUGUUGGAUUUUAUUAUAAACCACUCAUGAGGUCAUCAUUAGGGGUGUACAAUUUGAUUCGUGGUUGAAUAGAUUCAAGUCAAAUUGGGGGCAAUUAGCAGAUUCGACCUUGAAUUGAAUCACCCUCAAAAUAGAGGGCCCAAUUUGGGCUUGAAGCAAAUCACCCCCGAUUCAACCCAAAUUGAUUCAGGUGGUUCAAACGCCAUUUUGAGGCCCAUUUUGCUGGGAGGCUCCUUAGGAAGGAGAUAUGGUGGCGCAGUGGUAAAACUGGUGGCGCAGUGGUAAAACUGCCGCCCUGUAACCAGAAGGUUACAAGUUUGAUCCUGACCAGGGGUUCAAGGUUGACUCAGCCUUCCAUCCUUCCGAGGUCGGUAAAAUGAGUACCCAGAAUGUUGGGGGCAAUAUGCUAAAUCAUUGUAAACCGCUUAGAGAGCUCCGGCUAUAGAGCGGUAUAUAAAUGUAAGUGCUAUUGCUAUUGCUAUAUGGUCUACCAGUUGGGGUCGGUGGGUAGACCAAGCCAGGCAGAUACCGACCCCAAUCGGUAAGACCAGCUCUCCCCAGAAAAACAGGAGAGCUGGUCUUACCGAUUGGAAUUGGCAGGUAGACCAGCCCUUCACUCCAGACCUGGUGCAUCAGCCCACCUUGGAGGACUGGUCUACCUGGCAGGCAGGCAGGUGCGCUAAGUCCAGAGUGGAGGGCUGGUCUAUCCACUGAUCCUAAUUGAAAGGAUCAAUAGACCAGUUCUCCCAAUAAAAGCAUCUCACUGGAAAAGGUGACGGAAUGCACUCCUAAGGGGCAACCUGCCUAGCUCCAUCACUGGCUGCUUUUGGCAGGGCAGUUUAAGACUCACUGGCUGACAUCCUAACAACAACAACAAAACUAUAGGAGGACAUUGCACUAGUGCAAAGCAGUUGCGCUAGCUACUUGUGCCAAGUAUGGAACUUCCAGGUUAGUUGUGCACUAUUGAAACUAUACUCAUGUGACUUUGUUAGAAUGUCAGCCAUCUCUUUUAAUUAGCAUACUGCUAUCAAGUGAAUUAAAGUGUCUCUGUGUGUGUGUGUGUGUGUGUGUGUGUGUGUGUGUGUGUGUGUGUGCGCGCAUGUACUGCUUUUGUUUUUAAUGUGUUGCUCUUUUGCUUGGUUGCCUGAGCUGCUUUUAAGGAGUUGCUGUUUUAUAUUGAUUCAUUGCAACUUGCGUGAGAUCCUGAUGGCCACUGAUUAAAAAACGGAGAGAGACGUUCUUUGAAGACUAAUGGGAAGACCACAAGCCACUACAAGCCACUACAGUCCUGCAGGGAAACCACUGUAGGACGGGCAGGUGCCUCCUCUUACACACCGUGUGAACUGCUUGCUUUCUUCGUGGACUUCCAUUUCGGAACUUUUGAACUGGUUCAGCUCCUUCCGGAUGGCAGCCUGCAUGGAGGGGGUAGAGGAAUCCCGUCAGCUUGGCUCUGGUGAGCCUCCACUCCCAAACCCUGCCACAGUUGAUAUCAAAGCCAGCCUCAUAAUGCAGCAAGGAGCUUCGUGUUUCUGCCUUAGCUCCAUUUUGUCCAGCCGCAGCCACCCUCCUUAGCUAUUGUGCUGCUGCAUUUCCUCACUAAUCAGUAGCCAGAAGUCUGAGCAAGGAAGGAAAGAAUCUGGUCUGGAGCCCAGAAAGGCCCUGUGCAGCAGGGGGAGAGGGAGCAGCUGGCAGGAAGCACUGGGUUCGGGCCAGCUGGGUUACUUAGGGGCCUUUUCAGUGUCCUUGCUUCUAGCGAUUUGUCAGGUACACACUCCCCCUCCCUGCAACACAUUCCAGGUUUUCAGGGUCACUGUAGCAUUAGGUUGCCCUUUUUAGGCUUGGCAUAGGAAACACGCAGGAGUGGGAGGAGAGAUGGUGUUACCGGAGUCGUGGGAUGCUGCAGGAAAGGGAGGGAGCAGGAAGGAUGUUCCCCACAGCCCAGAGGAUCGGCAGCAAAAGCUAUCAGGACUUCAUAUACAUGCAUAUCCUCAUCUUAAGAUGGCAUUUAUAUUAUUAUUUCUUGUUUACACAGUCAGACAGGUGUUAUUGACUGGUUUGUUUAAUCCAGACAUCGAGUCCUUCCCAAGGACCUGGGAUGCCAGAAUUUUAUUGUCAAUUGUUAUAGAUAUCGUCGCAGAAUAUAGGCUGUUCCCAGUAAAGCUGCUUUUUGUAAUUGGC